rnacentral:snRNA from 1 species
UAGCCAAGGACAACUUGC